AUGAUCAUCCCGGUACGCUGCUUCAUCUGCGGGAAGACCGUCGGCAACAAACGGGAAGCCUACCUGGGUCUGCUGCAGGCCGAGUACACGGAGGGGGAUGCCCUGGACGCUCUGGGCCUAAAGCGCUACUGCUGCCGCCGCACGCUGCUAGCACACGUGGACCUGAUUGAGAAGCUGCUUAACUAUGCACCCCUAGAGAAGUGA
rnacentral:lncRNA from 1 species